rnacentral:misc_RNA from 1 species
CCGAGCGCGAGGCCACGCAGGGCGCCAGCCCCGCGUGGCCGACCCUCCACCCGUGCUGAUAUUUCAGGCUACUUUGGCGGGCCGGGCUCGACCUACCGGCUCCGGCCGGGAGCGCCCGCCAGAGACGCCCCAACUCGUGCUGUCAGUGAUGUCUGAGUUACAAUUAAUAAAGUA